rnacentral:sRNA from 1 species
UUUAUGAUGGUCUGCAAAGAGCACCAUUGACUUACAAGUUAGAAAAGGAGCAAAAAGUGUGAGAAAAAUUGCCACUGCCAAUUCUGCUGCGGACUGUGGGCUUUCUAUUCUCAUGGAUGGCUCAGAUUCCUCACCACAUUUUCCCGUUGGCCCCUUUCUUAUCCGACAUUGCAUUAUCUAAAAAUGUUUGGUGAAUUGUAAGGUACUUGGUAAUGUUGCUGUUGCUGCUAUUGUAACAGGUACAGGGAGAUGAGGUGUCCUUCUCCCAACCCUCCCACAGGUCCAAGGACUUGGAAGUUAACUUUUGAGAGCUGAACAAUACAACAAUAAAUAAUUGAUGACAUUUGUUUAAAGAAAUGACCUUAAAAUGUAGAAGAAAUAACAAAGCCAAAACAUUUUCCCAUGAGUUUGCCUAAAUAUGAAGUAAAAUUUUGGCUUCCUAAAAAAAAAAAUCAGGGGUGCAUACAAUGUUUUAUGCACAAAAAUAUGUUUCAUUGUUAUUGAUUUAAAUAAAAAUGGAAACAAUUCUAUCAGUAAGUGGGGAAUUCAUUAAGCAAGUUAUAGUACGUAGCUAUAAUGGAAAGACCCAUCACCAUUAAAAAUGUUAUAAAAAGUUUUUAGUGACAUAGAAGAAUGUGUAUGGUAAAAUGCUGAGCAUAAAAGGAAGAUAUAACCCCUUAUAAAAAGAAAUAUCUCAACUAGCUUUUUAAAAAAUGCAUGGAAGUCUGACUAAAAGGAAAGACACUAAAAAUAUUAAUGAGUAGUAGGAGUUUGGGUGAUUUCACUUUUCUGCCUUUAGAUAUUUUAUAUUUUGACAUAAAGCCUAAACAAGAAUAUUGGCAAACUUGAGAAGAUAAUACCUGAACAGAUUAGAAGCGUUUAAUGAGGUCUAGAGUAAGGGUCUCCAAGAGCAAGUUUGUCAAAGUUUAUGUAGCAAUGCCAGGGAAGAGUAAGAUUGAUACAUCACACCCAGUUGGCAGUCAAUAUAAAAAUCAUCCAUUCAUCUUCUCUCAUACUUAUUUCAGUUCAGUGCUUACCAAGCAAAUUUAUGAUUUUCAUUGGCAUUCUUAUGUGUUCCCCUGAUAGGCAAAAUUCACUGACUGCACCAACAUGUACCUUAUGUUAUUUUGGCUUAUAUACAUCAGUCUCCUGUGAGUUGGUUGGUGGGAAUCAGUUCUGGAGAAAUCAGUCAUUUCUUGGUGCCCUGAUAAGAUCAAAUUUCUGGACCUGCAAACCUGAAGGCUGGCUGCUGAGCUGCAGAAACAACACAAGAAUUGUUGACCACUGAUGAGUGGUCUGUGACCACUGAUGGCACUAGAACACCCACAAAUUGCCUCAUUGUUACUACUCUUAUAUGACAAUCACAGUCUCAGAGCUGGCCCUUAAGCUGGCUCUCCCUUCCAGGCUUUCUAAGAGAUACUUUGUUUUAUUCUCAGGGGAUGACAGCAUGGGAGGAAGUGGCUCCACAUCUAAACCCAACACUGAAAGACAAGGCACUCUCUCCACAGCAGCCCCAACAACUAGCCCUGCACCCUGUCUCUCUAACCACCACAAGUAAAUGAGCAUUCUCCCAUCUGUUUCAUCUUGUACCACAUGGGAUUUGAUGUUGUGUUGACAGUCUUGGCUUGGGAACUUGGGCAGGGAGACUGGGGAGAAAGGACUAGAAAUAGUAAAAGAACAAAGUCAGUUUGUGAUCUCAGGAGUAUGGCUCUUAAUUUGACAUCCCCUAAGCUUCAAGAGAUCCAUGGAUCCCCUAAGCUUAUAGCUUUCAUCCAUCCCAGGGGAAUCACUUACCUAUGCCAGCACGACUUUCAAACUCUCAGAAGAAAAGAGCAAUCACUUGGCUGAGAACCAUUCUGCAGACUUUGACCCCAUUGUCUAUGCUCAAAUUAAAGUAACAAACUAACCCGGCUUUUCCAAUGAGGCUUGAAUCCAUUUCCUCUCAUCUCAGCCCUAUCUUCACACAUCACUUUCCCUUUUUUACAAAUUUUGGACCACCACCUGUGUGAAACUGCAGUUGGAGUUGUUUAGAUGUGAUCUGGCAAUGCUAUCCACAGCUUUGGAGACCAAUGGUCAGUCUUUUCCUGGACAGAGAAAAGAUUGAUGGCCCACCCGCUUGAACUGACAGCCUGUGAGCCCCUUGGGGGCAUAGACUGCCUUCCUUGGACCCUUCCAAAGUGUGUGGUACAGAGCUCAGUGCACAGAGUAUUCACCCAGCAUCAUGAAUCAACUUGGGAGGAGUCAACCAAAUAAACAAUCUACCAAGAAUUUCAAAUAAAGUCAAACCCCCCCAC